GUCCAUCAUCCUGUUCUCACAGCGGCCAACUAGGAAGUCCUUAAGCAGGACAGGAGCACAACAGCCCUCUCCCUCCAUAGGCUGAAGAUCUUUCUGUUUCAGGACCCGACACUCAUGGACUUGAGCACAGCUUCAACCCAUUUGGUGCUGGUGCUGGUGACUUUGAACAGGCAUUGGGAGGCAGAUGUGCACUGUUCUCUGUAAUUACUUUCCGCUCUCGUCUUGCCCUUUGCUGUCUGUUUGAAAUUUAACCUUAAUAGAAUCAGAAUGGCAUUUACCCAGGGAUCAUCUCCAGAAUGCUUGGAACUCACGGAAAUAAAGAAAGGUAUAAAAAACUGAGUGUCUGCAUUCCAAAGAGAAUAAGUACUGGUAUUAAAAUUGUGACUUGAGACUCCUUGUAUUGCCUUGAGAGAAAACAUCCAUUUUAGUAUGAGACAGAAAAUACUCAUUUGUGGUCAACAACAUCUGGCACAUUGGAUAACUUACCUCAUUAAAAUUUUAUUCACAGGUCAACAUUUGAUGUUAAGCAGCCAAGGCAGGAGAAUGUAAAUAGAAGAGGGCUUCUGGAUCAGACUAAAGGACCAUCUAGUGCAGAAUUGGGUUCCUGCAAUGGCCACCAGGAUACCUAAGGGAAGCUUGCAAGCAGGAUAUGAGUGCUCAGGUUCCUCAGCCACUGAUAUUCAGAGGCCGACUCUCUCCAAUAAUGAAAGAAAUCGAGAGCUAUCAUAAGUAGGAGUCAUGGAUGGCCUUAUCCUCCAUGAAAGAGGUGAGCCAAAUGUAUGUUAAACACACAAAGUGAAGCAUGUUGGGGGCAUGUUCUUUUGAUUAAAUCAAAAUAAACAAAUUUUAAAAAUAACUAAAAAAUAAACUGAUAACUAAUUUUCUAAAAGUUUUAUUGUUUUCUCUCAACCUACCAGAUCUAAAAAGUUAAAUAUUCAGACCCCUAGAUUAUAAUAUUCACAUUGAUUUGUCCAGCACCCCCACUGCUCU